rnacentral:rRNA from 1 species
AGAAUCAACGCUGGCGGCGUGCCUAACACAUGCAAGUCGCACGAGAAAGGGACUUCGGUCCUGAGUAAAGUGGCGCACGGGUGAGUAACACGUGAAUCAUCUACCUCCGAAUGGGGAAUAACUGAGAGAAAUCUUAGCUAAUACCGCAUAAUACCUACGGGUCAAAGCAGCAAUGCGUUUGGAGAGGAGUUCGCGGUCGAUUAGUUAGUUGGCGGGGUAAUGGCCCACCAAGACGAUGAUCGAUAUCCGGCCUGAGAGGGCGCACGGACACACUGGAACUGAAACACGGUCCAGACUCCUACGGGAGGCAGCAGUGGGGAAUUUUGCGCAAUGGGGGAAACCCUGACGCAGCAACGCCGCGUGGAGGAUGAAAUAUCUUGGUAUGUAAACUCCUUUCGAUGGGGAAGAUAAUGACGGUACCAUAGAAGAAGCCCGGCUAACUCGCGCCAACAGCCGC